ACUUUUAAAGGAUAAUAGUAAUCCA
rnacentral:tRNA from 2 species